rnacentral:rRNA from 1 species
GAUGAACGCUAGCGGGAGGCCUAACACAUGCAAGCCGAGCGGUAGAGUUUCUUCGGAAACUUGAGAGCGGCGCACGGGUGCGUAACACGUGUGCAACCUACCUUUAUCUGGGGGAUAGCCUUUCGAAAGGAAGAUUAAUACCCCAUAAUAUAAUGAUUGGCAUCAAUUAUUAUUGAAAACUCCAGUGGAUAGAGAUGGGCACGCGCAAGAUUAGAUAGUUGGUGAGGUAACGGCUCACCAAGUCAAUGAUCUUUAGGGGUCCUGAGAGGGAGAUCCCCCACACUGGUACUGAGACACGGACCAGACUCCUACGGGAGGCAGCAGUGAGGAAUAUUGGACAAUGGGUGAGAGCCUGAUCCAGCCAUCCCGCGUGAAGGAUGACGGUCCUAUGGAUUGUAAACUUCUUUUGUACAGGGAUAAACCUACCCUCGUGAGGGUAGCUGAAGGUACUGUACGAAUAAGCACCGGCUAACUCCGUG